CAUAACUAGUAUUGGAGGCAUUGCCUGCCCAGUGACAACCGUUAAACGGCCGCGGUAUCCUGACCGUGCAAAGGUAGCAUAAUCAUUUGUUCUCUAAAUAAGGACUUGUAUGAAUGGCCAAACGAGGGUUUUACUGUCUCUUACUUCCAAUCAGUGAAAUUGACCUUCCCGUGAAGAGGCGGGAAUACCAUAAUAAGACGAGAAGACCCUAUGGAGCUUUAACUACUUAGUCCAAAGAAAUAAAUUUAUUAACCAAGGAAACAACAAUACUCUUUAUGGACUAACAGCUUUGGUUGGGGUGACCUCGGAGAACAGAAAAUCCUCCGAGCGAUUUUAAAGACUAGACUCACAAGUCAAAUCACACAAUCGCUUAUUGAUCCAAAAAAUUGAUCAACGGAACAAGUUACCCUAGGGAUAACAGCGCAAUCCUAUUCAAGAGUUCAUAUCGACAAUAGGGUUUACGACCUCGAUGUUGGAUCAGGACACCCCGAUGGUGCAACCGCUAUCAAAGGUUCGUUUGUUCAACGAUUAAAGUCCUACGUGAUCUGAGUUC
rnacentral:rRNA from 1 species